rnacentral:rRNA from 1 species
GAUGAACGCUGGCGGCGUGCCUAAUACAUGCAAGUCGAGCGAACGGACGAGAAGCUUGCGCUCCUGAUGUUAGCGGCGGACGGGCGAGUAACACGUGGAUAACCUACUUAUAAGACGGGGAUAACUUCGGGAAACCGGAGCUAAUACCGGAUAAUACUUUGAACGGCAUGGUGCAAAAGUGAAAGACGGUCUUGCCGUUACUAAGAGAUGGAGCCGCGCUGCAUUAGCUAGUUGGUAAGGUAACGGCUUACCAAGGCGACGAUGCGUAGCCGACCUGAGAGGGUGAUCGGCCACACUGGAACUGAGACACGGUCCAGACUCCUACGGGAGGCAGCAGUAGGGAAUCUUCCACAAUGGGCGAAAGCCUGACGGAGCAACGCCGCGUGAGUGAUGAAGGUCUUCGGAUCGUAAAACUCUUUUAUUAGGGAAGAACAUAUGUGUAAGUAACUGUGCACAUCUUGACGGUACCUAAUCAGAAAGCCACGGCUAACUACGUG